rnacentral:lncRNA from 1 species
ACCAGUUUGCUAGUUCGUUUUUUUUUUCUUUUUUAUUCUUAUCUUUUUUUCAAGACAUAUUUCGUCUCGUUUUGGUUUUUUUUUCUUCAGAAAAAGAAAAAAGAAAAAAAAAAAAAAAAAUGAAAAAUUCACUAAUUUCUAAAAUACUUACAGAAGCAGAAAUUACUGAGUUAGGUUUACAUAGUAGCUUAUUAAAACCAUGUUCAUGUCCUUUUAUUUUAAACAAGAAACAUUAUAUCAAGAUUUGUAAAUUAUAUUUGCUGAAUAUUGUAUUAUUUUUUUUUGUUUAUAUCACUGUUUGUGUGAUUUUAUUAAUUAAUUGUAAAAAAGAAUUAAAUAAAGCUAUAGAACUCAUAAUAUAUAUAUACUUGUUUGUUUACUUUUAUAUUGGUCUUAUAAUAAGCAACAAUAUUAAGUACUACUUAGUGAAAAAAUAUAACGUAAAAGAAGUACGCAAGAGAUUGUGUACAACGUAUUUAAGAAGAACCAAAAAGAAUAGAGAUAAAAAAAAAAAAGAAAAAAAAAAAAAGAUAAACAAAAAAGAGAUAAUAAGCAUAAACAAGCAAAAUACACGUACUGUUAAAAAAAGUAAAACUACAAACAAAAAAAACGAAUGUACCUACAAAAAGUAUAAAACGUUAACUGGAAAACUGUUUUCGAAAGAAAAAUAUUAUUUGGUUAAUAAUGGUGAAGAAGAAAAUCAAUUGGAAUUAAAUAACAACAAUUUUGUACCUGAAUGCAAAUAUUAUUUAUUAGAUGAUUUAAAAAAUGUGAGUGAAGAUAUAAAUAUUGAGCUAUUAAAAUAUAUUCAAUAUGAAAAUAAUAAUUAUACAAUAAAUAAUAAUAAGUAUGAUAUAUUUUUAAUAAUAGCAGGUGUUAUUAAUCAAUUAAAUAUUUUCGUUGAUAUAAUUUUUUUGUUUUAUUUAUAUGAUUAUAAUAUAUAUAUGUUAUAUGCUGGCUUAUGUAUUUGUGCUUAUUACCUUAUCCACUUUUUUAUUAUUAUUAAAUAUACUAUAAUUAUUAUCAAAUCAUUGAUAUGGAUAUAUAAAAAGCCAUUUUUUAAAUAUUAUAAAAACGCUGUAUCACAGUGGGAAUGGGUUUUUAGAUAUUACCUUACUAAGACAAGGGGGAUGUUUAAACGUAGUGAGCUAUAUAUGUACAUGUAUAUAUGUGUAUACAUAACAAAUAGACAUAUGUCGUUUAUUACAACAUUAUUCUAAAUAUAUACACAUAUACAUACAUAUAUAUAUAUAUAUAUAUAAUAUGCACUUUUUUUUUUCUUUUUUUUCUUUUUUUUU